UUUCGGGUCGUAAAACUCUGUUGUUAGGGAAGAACAAGUGCUAGUUGAAUAAGCUGGCACCUUGACGGUACCUAACCAGAAAGCCACGGCUAACUACGUGCCAGCAGCCGCGGUAAUACGUAGGUGGCAAGCGUUAUCCGGAAUUAUUGGGCGUAAAGCGCGCGCAGGUGGUUUCUUAAGUCUGAUGUGAAAGCCCACGGCUCAACCGUGGAGGGUCAUUGGAAACUGGGAGACUUGAGUGCAGAAGAGGAAAGUGGAAUUCCAUGUGUAGCGGUGAAAUGCGUAGAGAUAUGGAGGAACACCAGUGGCGAAGGCGACUUUCUGGUCUGUAACUGACACUGAGGCGCGAAAGCGUGGGGAGCAAACAGGAUUAGAUACCCGGGUAGU
rnacentral:rRNA from 1 species